UACAGAGGUCUAAAGCGUUGUUCGGAUUCAUAGGGCGUAAAGAGUGCGUAGGCGGCGCGGUAAGUCGGGUGUGAAAUCUCGGAGCUUAACUCCGAAACUGCAUUCGAUACUGCCGUGCUUGAGGACUGGAGAGGAGACUGGAAUUUACGGUGUAGCGGUGAAAUGCGUAGAUAUCGUAAGGAAGACCAGUGGCGAAGGCGGGUCUCUGGACAGUUCCUGACGCUGAGGCACGAAGGUCAGGGGAGCAAACGGG
rnacentral:rRNA from 1 species